rnacentral:rRNA from 1 species
CCUACGGGGGGCAGCAGUGGGGAAUAUUGGGCAAUGGGCGCAAGCCUGACCCAGCAACGCCGCGUGAAGGAAGAAGGCUUUCGGGUUGUAAACUUCUUUUGACAGGGAAGAGUAGAAGACGGUACCUGUCGAAUAAGCCACGGCUAACUACGUGCCAGCAGCCGCGGUAAUACGUAGGUGGCAAGCGUUUUCCGGAUUUACUGGGGGUAAAGGGCGUGUAGCCGGGUUGACAAGUCAGAUGUGAAAUCCUGCGGCUUAACCGCAGAACUGCAUUUGAAACUGUUGAUCUUGAGUACUGGAGAGGCAGACGGAAUUCCUAGUGUAGCGGUGAAAUGCGUAGAUAUUAGGAGGAACACCAGUGGCGAAGGCGGCCUGCUGGACGACAACUGACGGUGAGGCGCGAAAGCGUGGGGAGCAAACAGGAUUAGAUACCCUAGUAGUC